GGCUUACUGGAACUGUAUUGACACUGAGGCACGAAAGCGUGGGGAGCAAAGAGGAUUAGAUACCCUCGUAGUCCACGCCCUAAACUAUGAUAACUAAGUGUUGCCUGUAGAGGCAGUGCUAAAGCUAACGCAUUAAGUUAUCCACCUGAGGAGUACGGUCGCAAGAUUAAAACUCAAAGGAAUAGACGGGGACCCACACAAGCAGUGGAUCACGUGGUUUAAUUCGACAAUAAACGGGGAAUCUCACCAAGGCUUGACAUCCCGAGAACGUCCUGGAAACAGGAGGGUGCCCGCAAGGGAGCUCGGUGACAGGUGCUGCAUGGUUGUCGUCAGCUCGUGCCUUGAGGUGUUCGGUUAAGUCCGUUAACGAGCGCAACCCAUGUCCUUAGUUACUAUGUCUAAGGAGACUGCCUUGGUUAACAAGGAGGAAGGUGUGGAUGACGUCAAAUCAGCAUGGCUUUUACGCCUAGGGCUACACACAUGAUACAAUGGUCUGUACAAAGAGCAGCAAUACCGCGAGGUGGAGCCAAUCUUCAAAGCAGAUCUCAGUCCGGAUUGGAGUCUGAAACUCGACUCCAUGAAGUUGGAAUUGCUAGUAAUCGUGAAUCAGAUAUGUCACGGUGAAUAUGUUCCUGGGUCUUGUACUCACCGCCCGUCAAGGCAUGGGAGGUAGUAAUAUCGGAAGCUCCUCUAGUAAUAUGGGGGUCCAUGGUAGGACUACUGACUGGGCUUAAGUCGUAACAAGGUAACC
rnacentral:rRNA from 1 species